GAUGAACGCUGACAGAAUGCUUAACACAUGCAAGUCUACUUGAAUUUGGGUUUUUUCACUUAGAUUUGGGUGGCGGACGGGUGAGUAACGCGUAAAGAACUUGCCUCACAGUUAGGGACAACAUUUGGAAACGAAUGCUAAUACCUGAUAUUAUGAAUAUAUGGCAUCAUAUAAUUAUGAAAGCUAUAAGCGCUGUGAGAGAGCUUUGCGUCCCAUUAGCUAGUUGGAGAGGUAACGGCUCACCAAGGCGAUGAUGGGUAGCCGGCCUGAGAGGGUGAACGGCCACAAGGGGACUGAGACACGGCCCUUACUCCUACGGGAGGCAGCAGUGGGGAAUAUUGGACAAUGGACCAAGAGUCUGAUCCAGCAAUUCUGUGUGCACGAUGACGUUUUUCGGAAUGUAAAGUGCUUUCAGUUGGGAAGAAAAAAAUGACGGUACCAACAGAAGAAGUGACGGCUAAAUACGU
rnacentral:rRNA from 1 species